UGUGGGAGCUGGCUUGCCUGCGAUGGCGGUGUGUCAGCCGAAUCCUAUUGGCUGAUACACCGCCAUCGCAGGCAAGCCAGCUCCCACA
rnacentral:misc_RNA from 1 species